rnacentral:lncRNA from 1 species
GCCCGCAUGCAGGCUCCCGGGCCGGCUGCGGAAGCUGUGGGCCUGGACUGGGGGUAGCAGCAGAGGGGCGGCCAGGUAGGUGCAGCCUUGGGGAGCCGGCGGGAUCCAGAGCGGGGCUCCUCUCCGCACUUUGUAGCUGCGUUGCUCCGCUCCAUGCCCUGCCUCAGCCACUCCUCCUGGUUACCAGGCAAAAGGAAACACCUUGAGCUGGCCAGGAGCUACCAGCGUCUGUCUACACCUGGGCUGGAGUGCAGCGGCAUGAUCUCGGCACACUGCAGCCACCGUCUUCCAGGUUCAAGCGAUUCUCCCACCUCAGCCUCCCGAGGAGCUGGGAUUACAGGAGUUCAGUGGCAUGACCAGGGCUCACUGCAACCUUGAUCUGGGCUCAAGUGAUCCUCCUACCUCAGCUUCCUGAGUAGCUAGGACCACAGGUGUGCACCAACCACACCCGACUAAUUUUUGUAGAGAUGAGAUCCCACUAUGUUACCCAGGCUGGUCUUGAACUCCUGGGCUCAGGUGAUCAUCCUGCCUUGGCUUCCCAAAGUACUGGGAUUAUAGGCUUGAGCCACCGUGCCUGGCCUGUGAUCAGAAUUCUCAUUUUUUUAGUCACUAAAAAUGCUGGGGGGCACUCCAUUCUCCAUUAUGUGAUUAGUUCACAUUGCAUGCUUGUAUCAAAACAUCAUAUAUACCCCACAAAUAUAUACAAAAAACUUUAAAAUUUUAAGUAUUAAUUGCUCAGGAAAAAAUUAAAAUGCUGGGGUGCUGAAAUCUCAAGGGCCCCAUUACAAAACUCCUUAGGAACCUCGCCCUCUCUCUGCUGUAAGGACUGGUUCCAGAAUGAGAGAAUUUAAAAGACAUUCCCCCCCCAAAAUGUUCAUAAUGUCACCCCGGAAACCUGCGAAUAUGUUAUAUUACAUGACCAGGGAGAAGUAAGGUUGCAGAUGGCAGUAAGGUUGCUAAUGGGCUGACCUUAAGAUAAGGAGAUGAUCCUGGAUUAUCUGGGUGGACCCAAUGUAAUCACAAGGGUCCUUAACUGUGGAAUAGUGAGGUGGCUGAGUCAGAGGCAGAGUGAUGCAAUGACUGAAAGACUUAACCAGCCAUCACCGGCUUUGAAUACGGAAGACGGUCAUGAGCCAGGGAAUGCAGGCAGGCUCUGGGAGCUGAAAAAAGCAAGAAAAUGGAUUCUCCCCUGGAGCCUCCAGAAGGGAUGCGGUCCUGCCAACCCCUUGUCAGUGAGCCAUUUCAGAUUUCUGACUUCCAGGACUGUAAGAAAAUAAACUUGUCUUGUUUUCAGCCA